UACAGAGGUGGCAAGCGUUGUUCGGAAUUACUGGGCGUAAAGGGCGCGUAGGCGGUCAGGUCAGUCCCGUGUGAAAUCCCUCGGCUCAACUGAGGAACUGCACGGGAAACUGCCUGGCUUGAGUUCGGGAGAGGGAUGCAGAAUUCCAGGUGUAGCGGUGAAAUGCGUAGAUAUCUGGAGGAAUACCGGUGGCGAAGGCGGCAUCCUGGACCGGCAUUGACGCUGAUGAGCGAAAGCCAGGGGAGCAGACGGG
rnacentral:rRNA from 1 species